rnacentral:rRNA from 1 species
UUGGCUAAUUGCACCACAUGUGUUUUUCUUUGAAACAAACUUGCUUUGGCGGUGGGCCCAGCCUGCCGCCAGAGGUCUAAACUUACAACCAAUUUUUUAUCAACUUGUCACACCAGAUUAUUACUUAAUAGUCAAAACUUUCAACAACGGAUCUCUUGGUUCUCGCAUCGAUGAAGAACGCAGCGAAAUGCGAUACGUAAUAUGAAUUGCAGAUAUUCGUGAAUCAUCGAAUCUUUGAACGCACAUUGCGCCCUCUGGUAUUCCGGAGGGCAUGCCUGUUUGAGCGUCGUUUCUCCCUCAAACCGCUGGGUUUGGUGUUGAGCAAUACGACUUGGGUUUGCUUGAAAGACGGUAGUGGUAAGGCGGGAUCGCUUUGACAAUGGCUUAGGUCUAACCAAAAACAUUGCUUGCGGCGGUAACGUCUACCACGUAUAUCUUCAAACUUUGACCUCAAAUCAGGUAGGACUACCCGCUGAACUUAAGCAUAUCAAUAAGGCGGAGGAA